AAAAAUGGUUAGAAAACGAUCAAUAGAGUUGAUUUUUCCCCCUUUAUUUAACCAGGUAGGCAAGUUGAGAACAAGUUCUAAUUUACAACUGCGACCUGGCCAAGAUAAAGCAAAACUUUUCGACACAUACAACAACAGAGAGUUACACGUGGAGUAAAACAAACAUACAGUCAAUAAUACAGUAGAAAAAUUAGUAUAUAUACAAUGUGAGCAAAUUACGUGAGAUAAGUAAGGUAAAUGCAAUAAAAAAGGCCACGGUAAAUGCGAUGGAAACUCGUGUAACUGCAAAAAUGUGUAUGUUCACUACAUCAUCACACAUAUACUUUUAUUCCAAACAAAAUAUACUUGAUGGAAACACAAUUGUGGUAGGAAUAUAGCAUUUUGUUUGUAUGCGAAUUGUGGCAUAUUCGCGUGACAAGACGUCCCCAAUUGGAUGGAAAUGUAGCUCGUGACACGCGCUGCAUGUUGCUUGGUAACCAAAUGGCGUUUGCUCAAACAGCUGAAAUCCCGAACAUACAAACCCUGCGUUUAGGGCAUGUUUUGCAAAUAUAUGUAACGAAAACAAACGAUGACAUGGAUUAACUAACUUGUUAUCUAUAUAUUUCAAAGGUUCAAGCUUUCUGUUUUGAACAGACACAUUUAGGGCACAGGUCCAGUUCAUAAGCAUGGAGAAGAACAAUUACGCAAUAGAAAGUGCCCCUUCGCCCCCCCCAGUGGAGGAGAUGAUGGAGCUGGACGGCAGGCAGCAGAGAGUCUACCACAGGGCUGCCAGGAUGAUACAGAGGACAUGGAGGAGACAUGUGGAUACACGCGUGUUCCAGUACUUCAAGAACCUUGUGAGGUUCCGUAACCAGGGAGACCCUCGACUCCUGCUAAAAAAUGUCAACCCCAGAGAGGCAAAUAUUCUGGAUGCUGCUGCAGGAGUCCACAUCAGAUUCAGACUGGGAGGGACCACCUUUCCACCGAGCAUCUACUAUAAGAUCUACACCCAUCGACCCAUCGUGGACAUGUGUGCCAACAGCCCCAAGGACUACACCCACCCUAGACAGAAGAGGUCCGUCCCCAGGCAGAUACACAACGGGAAGACCCAGGUGCAGGACGACCAUGCUGGCUGGUACCACCGCGUGGAGAACAACGGCUGGAGACUGCUCUCUGGGAAGGCUGCUCUGUUAGGUGACAUCAUCACGUUGGAGACCAAUGGCAGGAAGGUGGAGUUUCACCAUUCCAAACUGCAGCGUCGUCAGGACGUGGACAGGAGGAAGAAGAGGAGGAAGAUUGAAUGGUUGAAGCAGAUGUAUGACCGUGGCUGUCUGCAUGCACGUACAGAGCAUAGUGAGACAGCCAUGCUGGUGGAGCGGUCAGCCCAGGGCAUGAUGGACGCCGUGGAGCAGCUGGGACCCAACCACAUCGUAGAGUGGGAAGUUGAUGAACUACUGGAGUGGACCAACGCUCUCAACUUUGACGAGUAUAUUAAUGACUGGGGGGUUGUGGGUACCAGUAAUUCCUCUGAGUCUUGGAAAGACAAGAGGCUGGUUCCUUCCAACCUGGAGCCUUGUGUUGAGUUCUCAGGGCUGGGGCAGGAGGACAGCCAGGUGGAUACCUACAGCAGUGUCCUCCACCCCCUGGUCUCCAGCCUCAUCAAGUCAGAACACUCCAAGGCCAAUCUCUUUGACUGACUGACUGGCUGGCUGGCAUUGUAUUGCUGACCAGACCAGUAAAUUGCAAUUAGCAACCAUCAGACACUACUACUAUGACACUAUACAACAUUUCAAGAUCAGAGAAGAGGGUCCUGUACAGCCGCGUUUCCCAGAACUCAGCAUGGUACCAGGAACAAGGCUUUCAACAGCUCCUGGUAUAAGGACAAUUCAUGGCUUGAAUAUUCUGUAAGUCAAGAUUCAACUUAUUGUUUCACCUGUAUUCAUGUUUCUCUGCCCAAUACACCUGAAUCUGCCUUCACAUCACAGUCAUGUUUCUCUGCCUAAUACACCUGAAUCUGCCUUCACAUCACAGUCAUGUUUCUCUGCCUAAUACACCUGAAUCUGCCUUCACAUCACAGUCAUGUUUCUCUGCCUAAUACACCUGAAUCUGCCUUCACAUCACAGUCAUGUUUCUCUGCCCAAUACACCUGAAUCUGCCUUCACAUCACAGUCAUGUUUCUCUGCCUAAUACACCUGAAUCUGCCUUCACAUCACAGUCAUGUUUCUCUGCCCAAUACACCGUAAUCUGCCUUCACAUCACAGUCAUGUUUCUCUGCCUAAUACACCUGAAUCUGCCUUCACAU